AGGAAGGUGGGGAUGAUGUCAAGUCAGCAUGGCCUUUAUAUCCUGGGCUACGACACACGCUACAAUGGCCAACACAAUAGGUGCUAAGCCGCGAGGUGGGCGCCAAUCCAUAAAGUUGGUCUCAGUUCAGAUUGUAGGCUGCAACCCGCCUGCAUGAAGAUGGAGUUGCUAGUAACCGCAGGUCAGCUAUACUGCGGUGAAUACGUUCCCGGGGCUU
rnacentral:rRNA from 1 species